UAACAGAUUUACCUCGGUAAUGACGUUAGGAAAGCGAGCGGCGGAUGGGUGAGUAACACGUGGGGAAUCUGCCCCAUAGUCUGGGAUACCACUUGGAAACAGGUGCUAAUACCGGAUAAGAAAGCAGAUCGCAUGAUCAGCUUUUAGAAGGCGGCGUAAGCUGUCGCUAUGGGAUGGCCCCGCGGUGCAUUAGCUAGUUGGUAAGGUAAAGGCUUACCAAGGCGAUGAUGCAUAGCCGAGUUGAGAGACUGAUCGGCCACAUUGGGACUGAGACACGGCCCAAACUCCUACGGGAGGCAGCAGUAGGGAAUCUUCCACAAUGGACGCAAGUCUGAUGGAGCAACGCCGCGUGAGUGAAGAAGGUUUUCGGAUCGUAAAGCUCUGUUGUUGGUGAAGAAGGAUAGAGGUAGUAACUGGCCUUUAUUUGACGGUAAUCAACCAGAAAGUCACGACUAACUACGUGCCAGCAGCCGCGGUAAUACGUAGGUGGCAAGCGUUGUCCGGAUUUAUUGGGCGUAAAGCGAGCGCAGGCGGAAGAAUAAGUCUGAUGUGAAAGCCCUCGGCUUAACCGAGGAACUGCAUCGGAAACUGUUUUUCUUGAGUGCAGAAGAGGAGAGUGGAACUCCAUGUGUAGCGGUGGAAUGCGUAGAUAUAUGGAAGAACACCAGUGGCGAAGGCGGCUCUCUGGUCUGCAACUGACGCUGAGGCUCGAAAGCAUGGGUAGCGAACAGGAUUAGAUACCCUGGUAGUCCAUGCCGUANACGAUGAGUGCUAAGUGUUGGGAGGUUUCCGCCUCUCAGUGCUGCAGCUAACGCAUUAAGCACUCCGCC
rnacentral:rRNA from 1 species